rnacentral:piRNA from 1 species
UCCAACAGAAAUAGACGGAAAGUGGAGCA